rnacentral:rRNA from 1 species
AAACCUCCGCAAUGUGAGAAAUCACGACGGGGGGACCCCAAGUGCCAUUCUUAACGGGAUGGCUUUUCUUGAGUGUAAAAAGCUCUUGGAAUAAGAGCUGGGCAAGACCGGUGCCAGCCGCCGCGGUAACACCGGCAGCUCUAGUGGUGACCAUUUUUAUUGGGCCUAAAGCGUUCGUAGCCGGUUUAAUAAGUCUUUGGUGAAAUCCUGUAAUC